AUUCUGUUGUUUAAGCUGCAAAAAGAAAGUUACAGACUUAACUGCUUUGAUUUUGUUUUCAGCGCUACAGCUCCAGGAGGCUGGGCUUGAUCUUAGAGAAACAUGCAAGCUGCUACAACUUAGCGGAGAAUUUCCAUGCCACGUCAAUUUACAGCCAGCCCCCUACCAGAGUUCUGUCGCUCAGGGCACCAGCGGUGCUUUGUCUAUCCCAGUUGGCUGGAUGAUAAAAAGAGGUGUCCAAAAAUGGAAAUAAA
rnacentral:lncRNA from 1 species